UGGGGAAUCUUGGACAAUGGGGGCAACCCUGAUCCAGCCAUGCCGCGUGUGUGAAGAAGGCCUUCGGGUUGUAAAGCACUUUCAGUAGGGAGGAAGGCUUACCGCUAAUAACGGUGAGUACUUGACGUUACCUACAGAAGAAGCACCGGCUAAUUUCGUGCCAGCAGCCGCGGUAAUACGAAAGGUGCGAGCGUUAAUCGGAAUUACUGGGCGUAAAGCGCGCGUAGGCGGUUUGUUAAGUCAGAUGUGAAAGCCCCGGGCUCAACCUGGGAAUUGCAUUUGAAACUGGCAGGCUAGAGUGCAGUAGAGGGAGGUGGAAUUUCCGGUGUAGCGGUGAAAUGCGUAGAGAUCGGAAGGAACACCAGUGGCGAAGGCGGCCUCCUGGACUGACACUGACGCUGAGGUGCGAAAGCGUGGGGAGCAAACAGGAUUAGAUACCCCGG
rnacentral:rRNA from 1 species